GAUUUCAUUGAUGGCACAAGACAUUUUGAGUAUUCCUAUUACUACAGUGGCUUCAGAGUCCGCUUUCAGCGUUGGCGGUCGGAUUAUCAACAAAUAUCGUAGUACCAUCUUGCCAGAGAAUGUAGAAGCUUUAAUAUGCACUAAAGAUUGGUUAUAUGGUGAAAAAUUUUCACAAGAAAAUGCCGAGGAAGAAGCUGCAUUAAUUACAGAUUUUGCUCCAUUAGUUACAAAACUUCUUGGCUCCAAUAGGGAGGUUUACGAAGAGGAAAUCUAGUCAUGUGACUUAUUGGAUUGCUCAAAGUUUUGCAGCUUCUUGAUGGGCCCUUUGUUCGUGUCUUCUUUCACUCCUUAGGGACUAGUAUUCACUGCCCUUGCUGGACUAAAAGAGGAGCUGUGUUUUGGGAAGGUACCAUGCCAUUACCAGUGCUUACUACAGAGGAGCUGUUGGUGCUUUACUCGUGUAGGAAGGCAGUCGAGGCCAUUGAUGAAGGUGCUCCUUCAUCUGUUCCUCCUAAAGGAGAGACGAUCAAUAUCAAAGAUGAGGGAUCUUCUUGGAAGAGAUUGGAUGCUGUUCAAGCUAGAGCUUGCAUGGAAAUCUUCAAGGACAAUGGCUCUUGCUGCAUAAGUCUUGUACAUUACAUCGUUCAACCAGCAAUAUUGUUCAUUUGAUUGUCCUCUGUCUUGGAUCAUAUAAGAUGACAGUUACAUGGAAAUACUUUAGUAUUUUCAUGAAAUUCUUACUUGGUAGGAUCAGGAAUGGGUAUAG